GACGAACGCUGGCGGCGUGCUUAACACAUGCAAGUCGAACGAAGAGCGAUGGAAGCUUGCUUCUAUCAAUCUUAGUGGCGAACGGGUGAGUAACGCGUAAUCAACCUGCCCUUCAGAGGGGGACAACAGUUGGAAACGACUGCUAAUACCGCAUACGAUCUAAUCUCGGCAUCGAGGAUAGAUGAAAGGUGGCCUCUACAUGUAAGCUAUCACUGAAGGAGGGGAGUGCGUCUGAUUAGCUAGUUGGAGGGGUAACGGCCCACCAAGGCGAUGAUCAGUAGCCGGUCUGAGAGGAUGAACGGCCACAUUGGGACUGAGACACGGCCCAGACUCCUACGGGAGGCAGCAGUGGGGAAUCUUCCGCAAUGGACGAAAGUCUGACGGAGCAACGCCGCGUGAGCGAUGACGGCCUUCGGGUUGUAAAGCUCUGUUAAUCGGGACGAAAGGCCUUCUUGCGAAUAGUGAGAAGGAUUGACGGUACCGGAAUAGAAAGCCACGGCUAACUACGUG
rnacentral:rRNA from 1 species